rnacentral:rRNA from 1 species
GUGAUCAUACCAUCACUAAUGCACCGGAUCCCAUCAGAACUCCGAAGUUAAGCGUGUUUGGGUGAGAGCAGUUCUAGGAUGGGUGACCCCCUGGGAAGGUCUCGUGUUGCACAUU